UGAACGCGAAGAACCUUACCUGGGUUUGACAUGCACAGGACGCCGGCAGAGAUGUCGGUUCCCUUGUGGCCUGUGUGCAGGUGGUGCAUGGCUGUCGUCAGCUCGUGUCGUGAGAUGUUGGGUUAAGUCCCGCAACGAGCGCAACCCUUGUCUCAUGUUGCCAGCACGUUAUGGUGGGGACUCGUGAGAGACUGCCGGGGUCAACUCGGAGGAAGGUGGGGAUGACCUCAAGUCAUCAUGCCCCUUAUGUCCAGGGCUUCACACAUGCUACAAUGGCCGGUACAAAGGGCUGCGAUGCCGUGAGGUGGAGCGAAUCCUUUCAAAGCCGGUCUCAGUUCGGAUCGGGGUCUGCAACUCGACCCCGUGAAGUCGGAGUCGCUAGUAAUCGCAGAUCAGCAACGCUGCGGUGAAUACGUUCCCGGGUCUUGUACACACGCA
rnacentral:rRNA from 1 species